AUUGAACGCUGGCGGCAUGCCUUACACAUGCAAGUCGAACGGUAACAGGCCGCAAGGUGCUGACGAGUGGCGAACGGGUGAGUAAUGCAUCGGAACGUGCCCAGUAGUGGGGGAUAGCCCGGCGAAAGCCGGAUUAAUACCGCAUACGACCUGAGGGUGAAAGGGGGGGAUCGCAAGACCUCUCGCUAUUGGGGCGGCCGAUGUCAGAUUAGCUAGUUGGUGGGGUAAAGGCCUACCAAGGCAACGAUCUGUAGUUGGUCUGAGAGGACGACCAGCCACACUGGGACUGAGACACGGCCCAGACUCCUACGGGAGGCAGCAGUGGGGAAUUUUGGACAAUGGGCGCAAGCCUGAUCCAGCAAUACCGCGUGCAGGAAGAAGGCCUUCGGGUUGUAAACUGCUUUUGUCAGGGAAGAAAUCUUCUGGGUUAAUACCUCGGGAGGAUGACGGUACCUGAAGAAUAAGCACCGGCUAACUACGUGCCAGCCGCCGCCGUAAGAC
rnacentral:rRNA from 1 species